UGUUGUUGUUGUUGUUGUUAUUUGACCUUUUUUUGUCAUGCUUUUUCUUGAGCCAAGGGUUCGGAAACAGGCUCUCUACCUCUUAAGGUAGAGGUAAGGUCCUCCCAGAUCCCACUGGGUAUGUUGUUGUUGUAUUGAAUAUGUUAUCAUUUUAUAACAAAUGAUGAACUCCUAUAAAAUUUUUGUUUCCACUACUAGCAGAGGCGACUCUAAGUAUAUAACUCAACCUCUAAUCAAAUGCACUAUUUAGCUUUUUUAUAGCAUGUGUUCCAAUAUAUAGUAUUAUACUAAUUUUAGAAAAUAUAUACAUAAAAUGUCUAGUUUUACAAAGAGACCAUCUGUUCACGUGCUCCAUUUUUUACCCCUAAAAUCGCCCCCGGCUACUAACCAUCUAUAUCAUAAUAUUUGUUGAAGCAGCGUACAUGUAAGGUGAUGUAUAUUUUUCAAUAAACUCUAUAUGUUUCUAUCUCUUCUUGUGUUAAGCUAACAUCCGUCUGAAGAAAAUAAACAGUAUAGCUAAGCUAUAGAUGGAUUACUGCUGAUGGACACGACAUUUCAAUAACUUUAUUGAAUCUCCCCUUCUUUAUCUCUAUAUAUGACACCUUGCACACAGACACAAAAGAAAAAGACACAUUGCACCACAAUAUAAUUGUCACUCAAUGUAAUAUUUUUUUGAGAUUAGACAGAAAAAAGAAGAAGAUGAAGUUUAUCAAAAAUUCUGAGGUUCAGUUCGGGUAAGUGUCUGAGGUUUUUGGGGUUCCUUUUUGUAUGUAAUAAUUCUGCUAAUUAAAUAUUGUACUUAGCGUGUCCUUUCAUGUACUUAUAAUUAUAUCUCUGAUUAAAGAGGACGAAUGUAGAUAUGGGAGGUACGCCUGUUUACUGUUCUAUCUCAACGGAAAAUUAAUUUCUUUUGCUAAAAUCUAGAAAGAAAAAAAAAUGAAGAAAUCAACCACUGUUCUAGAUCUAACAGAAAAUUUUCCCGUUUCUUCUCUUUUCUUGGUUUUGCUCUUGACAAUCUUGCUUUUUCUUGCUUUAUUUUUCCUGCUAUGGGGUGUAAUCUGAGACUUGAAAUGAGCCUGAAGUGUCAUGAUGACCGCCUUGAAGUACAAUUUUCAUCUAUAUGUGAAGGCUAGGCUAUUGUAAGUGGCAUUGCUCUCACGAUCCAUUGCGAUUAACCCUUUCUUACCCCGAUUAAAGAAAAAGGACUAAAGUGAGCACAAACUUCCUGGUAAAAGGAUUACUCUUUCAGAAUAUUUGUAUUUACAUUUAAAGAUAGUCUUUUAACUUGAUGAAUCUGUGGAUUCCUUUAUUUUUUUUUGUUGAGUAUGAGGGAUUUAGUUAAAUUUAUGUGGGUUCUUGCAAUAUUUUAUGUAGGUUUGAAUAUGAUUCUUAUUGUUGAUAAGAUUUUGUUUCCUUUUAGAAGAUACACACAAUAUCCAGUCUUUGCUAUGAAGUGUGGAGAAAAAUUUCCAUGUAGAGGUUAGAAUAUUGGAGUACAUCAAUAAUGAACUUUAUUCAAGUUUGAAUUUCAUUUAUUUUUUAAGAAUCCAUUAGUUCUUUGUUAAGAGUAUGUCGCAUUGUAAUUACACUAAAAUAUUCUAGCCCCUUUUGACAGCCAUUAAUAUUGCCUGAUGGUGGGAACAUCAAGCAGCUUUUUUGGGGAAAUUAACUUUGCUUUACACAGAACCUCAAGGUGAACUAUAGGCAUGUCGAGCAUUUCAUAUCAACGAUAAGAAUAAGCACAACCAGAGCCAAGUGCAUGAGGUUAUAUUGGCUUUAUUGAUUAACUUCUUGAUAUGCAGGCUUGGGUCGAAAUACUGAAAUACAUGGAUAAAAUUCAGCGCACCGUUGCUUCAAAUAUAAUAAGAAAGGUUGUGGUUUGACAAAGAAGUUUAACCGGAAAAAACUUGGUGCUUGUGAUUUGUCGGUGUUACCAUCAUUAGUGAAAUAAAGGUGGACCAAAGAUCAGCGUGGAAACUGAAGUACCUCAUCGGGUGCUACCACGGAAUUAUAUAGUCGAUUUCAACUUGUUUGAUAUUGAGGCGUACUUACAGUUGGUGUACAAUAUCAAUAAUUAGUAGUGAUGGAGAUCGAAGCACAAGUUUAGUACCUCGAAGAUGGUUUGUGUCUAACCAAGUUGGACUAGUCAGAGGGUUCAAUAUCAAGAAUAUGGUUGCACUUGUGGCUGCACCAAAUGUACCAAGCACGCAUAAAUAAUAUGUUACACCAAGAAAUUCUCUGAAAGGAAAUAUCUAUCCCGUCCGGGUUCAUGUGGCAGCAAUUUUUUGUGUUUGUAGAUGGGAAAUUUCGUGUCUAACCAAGUUGAAGAAUUAGCUAUAUGAAUUCUCUAUAUACUGUGUAAUGAAUUCUCUGUACCUGUACUGUUUUAUGAAUCAUCUAUAAUUAUAUACUUUAGGAACUCUUGUAAAGAUUACUAUAUAUAGGUAAGAUCAUUUAUAUCUGAAA